AAAGAUUUUUAUAUGUUUGUCUCUGAAACUCAACAGAGUCUGAGAGCAAUUCUCCUUUGAGGACUUAAAGGCUAUGGGCAAGUCAACUCAUGAUCUUUAAAGGACAAAGAAAAAUGAUCAAUCUCAGUACCUGACAGAUUGACAGCUGGUUACUAUCCAUACCUUGAUCACUGUUUACUUAGCAGCUGAGCCAAGAGAUUUCCUAUAUAUCUCCUCAAGAUACUGGAAUAAGAUUUGGACAGACAUCUAAUGACUAAGGAUGACAUGAGUUCCACGGUUGGUCACUGAUCCACUGUUAGCAUUCACUGAACCCACUGAAUUGGGAGCACUGGAUAGAUGCAAGUUUCCUGAAAUUCACAGCACAGGGAACAUGGUAGAGGAAUCUUCUGGCAUGAUAAAGGGGACC